rnacentral:rRNA from 1 species
AGUGAACGCUGGCGGUAGGCCUAACACAUGCAAGUCGAACGGCAGCACAGUAAGAGCUUGCUCUUACGGGUGGCGAGUGGCGGACGGGUGAGGAAUACAGCGGAAUCUACUUUUUCGUGGGGGAUAACGUAGGGAAACUUACGCUAAUACCGCAUACGACCUACGGGUGAAAGCAGGGGAUCUUCGGACCUUGCGCGAUUGAAUGAGCCGAUGUCGGAUUAGCUAGUUGGCGGGGUAAAGGCCCACCAAGGCGACGAUCCGUAGCUGGUCUGAGAGGAUGAUCAGCCACACUGGAACUGAGACACGGUCCAGACUCCUACGGGAGGCAGCAGUGGGGAAUAUUGGACAAUGGGCGCAAGCCUGAUCCAGCCAUACCGCGUGGGUGAAGAAGGCCUUCGGGUUGUAAAGCCCUUUUGUUGGGAAAGAAGAGCAGCAGGUUAAUACCCCGCUGUUCUGACGGUACCCAAAGAAUAAGCACCGGCUAACUUCGUG